AUACCAAUGUAAUCUAGUAAUAUGAUUAUUUUUUCUCAUAAAAUCAUAUUACUAGAUUACAUUGGGAU